rnacentral:tRNA from 5 species
GGGCGAUUAGCUCAGUCGGUUAGAGCGCUUCUCUGAUAAGGAAGAGGUCGGUGGUUCGAGUCCACCAUCGCCCA